rnacentral:tRNA from 1 species
GGCGGCAUAGCCAAGUAGCCAAGGCGGCGGUCUGCAAAACCGCUAUUCAUGGGUGCAACUCCCAUUGCCGCCU